CCCGGGCAGGCCCAUCUCAGAAUUAACGCUUUGAUGGCAUCACCGCGUCGGGAAUCCCUGGGGAUGGUGUUCUCCACCGUCAAGACCUUUGAGCCGCCUGAGCGACUAACUCCUGCGCCCCUGAGGUCACAGCUACUUGGAAGGCUGAGAUGUGAAGACUACUUGAGCUCAGAAGUUCCACUGCACUCCAGCCUGGGUUACAGAGGGAAACCUUGUCUCUAAAAAAAAGAAAAAAGAAAGAAAGAAAAAGAAAACAUAGGACAUUUUAUUCAGAAAUUAAAUCAUUCAGAGUUCCAGCACUGUCGGGGGUCAUCGGGCUCUGUCCACCGCCAUAGGCCUAGCAUUGUCACCAACGGAGCCAUAGAGGGACCUCGGCCCAAGCUGGGGCCUCUUCAUUGUCGAAGAAGGCCUCUUGCCAGACCAGGAUCUGUGGGCGCGGCCAGGCUGGAGGACUAGGGCGGUGGCAGUGGCCAGGAAGCCCUUGGCCCCCAAGAAGGGAGACAGUUCUGCUGAAGAACUCGAACUGGAUACUCAGCUGACAGGACCAGAAAUGCCCAUCGGCAAUGUCUACAAGGAGAAAGCCAGAGUCAUCGCUGACUAGGAGGAAAACUUCCAGGCCUUGUUAGUCUCUGUAUGGCCCAUGCAAAUGCCCAGCUCUUCGGCAUAUAGGCACAAAGAGCCAAGGAAGCUGUAGAAGAGGACGCUUAAAAAAAAAAAAAACGGGUAGGCUCGAGCCGCUGCAUCAGCUUCGCGCUGGGUCUCUCGGUCCCGCAGCCAUGAGGAGGACGCUGCCCAGACUCACUACCCGCCCUCUCAGUCCCGCAGCCACGAGGAGGACGCUGCCC
rnacentral:lncRNA from 1 species